rnacentral:pre_miRNA from 1 species
AGUGGUAUAACUGGGUCAAUUGGUAGUUCCAUUCCAAGUUUUCUGAGAAAUCUCCAUACUGCUUUCCAGAGUGGUUGCACCAAUUUGCAAUUCCAAGAGCCAU